AUACGUAGGGGGCGAGCGUUGUCCGGAAUUACUGGGCGUAAAGGGUGCGUAGGCGGCCGAUUAAGUUGGAUGUGAAAUACCCGUGCUCAACAUGGGGGGUGCAUUCAAAACUGGUUGGCUAGAGUACAGGAGAGGGAAGCGGAAUUCCUAGUGUAGCGGUGAAAUGCGUAGAUAUUAGGAGGAACACCAGUGCGAAGGCGGCUUUCUGGACUGUAACUGACACUGAGGCACGAAAGCGUGGGGAGC
rnacentral:rRNA from 1 species